AACGAACGCUGGCGGCAUGCCUAACACAUGCAAGUCGAACGAGACCUUCCGGUUGAGUGGCGCACGGGUGCGUAACACGUGGGAACCUGCCCUUAGGUGCUCAGUAACUCCCAGAGAGACGUGCUCAUAUCGGAUAAUGUCUUCGGACCAAAGAUUUAUCGCCUUUGGAUGGGCCCGCGUUUGAUUAGCUAGUUGGUAGGGUAAAAGCCUACCAAGGCGACGAUCCGUAGCUGGUCUGAGAGGAUGAUCAGCCACACUGGGACUGAGACACGGCCCAGACUCCUACGGGAGGCAGCAGUGGGGAAUAUUGGACAAUGGGCGAAAGCCUGAUCCAGCCAUGCCGCGUGAGUGAUGAAGGCCUUAGGGUUGUAAAGCUCUUUUACCCGGGAUGAUAAUGACGGUACCGGGAGAAUAAGCUCCGGCUAACUCCGUA
rnacentral:rRNA from 1 species